GUUGACCUCGGAUCAGGUAGGGAUACCCGCUGAACUUAAGCAUAUCAAUAGCGGAGGA
rnacentral:rRNA from 1 species